AGUAGACCGCCUGGGGAGUACGGUCGCAAGAUUAAAACUCAAAUGAAUUGACGGGGGCCCGCACAAGCGGUGGAGCAUGUGGUUUAAUUCGAUGCAACGCGCAGAACCUUACCUACUCUUGACAUCCUCAGAAGAGACUGGAGACAGUCUUGUGCCUUCGGGAACUGAGAGACAGGUGCUGCAUGGCUGUCGUCAGCUCGUGUUGUGAAAUGUUGGGUUAAGUCCCGCAACGAGCGCAACCCUUAUCCUUGAUUGCCAGCACUUCGGGUGGGAACUUCAGGGAGACUGCCGGUGAUAAACCGGAGGAAGGUGGGGACGACGUCAAGUCAUCAUGGCCCUUACGAGUAGGGCUACACACGUGCUACAAUGGCGUAUACAGAGGGUUGCCAACUUGCGAAAGUGAGCGAAUCCCAAAAAGUACGUCGUAGUCCGGAUUGGAGUCUGCAACUCGACUCCAUGAAGUCGGAAUCGCUAGUAAUCGUGGAUCAGAAUGCCACGGUGAAUACGUUCCCGGGCCUUGUACACACCGCCCGUCACACCAUGGGAGUGGGCUGCAAAAG
rnacentral:rRNA from 1 species